rnacentral:rRNA from 1 species
GACGGAGGGGGCUAGCGUUGUUCGGAAUGACUGGGCGUAAAGGGCGCGUAGGCGGUUUUUUAAGUGAGGCGUGAAAGCCCUGGUCUUAACCCAGGAGGUGCGUUUCAAACUAGAAAACUAGAGGACGAGAGAGGAAAGUGGAAUUCCUAGUGUAGAGGUGAAAUUCGUAGAUAUUAGGAAGAACACCAGUGGCGAAGGCGGCUUUCUGGCUCGUAACUAACGCUGAGGCGCGAAAGCGUGGGGAGCAAAC